GCGAGGCUGAAAAGCGUAGUCGAUGGAAAACAGGUUAAUAUUCCUGUACUUCUGGUUAUUGCGAUGGAGGGACGGAGAAGGCUAGGCCAGCUUGGCGUUGGUUGUCCAAGUUUAAGGUGGUAGGCUGAGAUCUUAGGUAAAUCCGGGAUCUUAAGGCCGAGAGCUGAUGACGAGUGUUCUUUUAGAACACGAAGUGGUUGAUGCCAUGCUUCCAAGAAAAGCUUCUAAGCUUCAGGUAACCAGGAACCGUACCCCAAACCGACACAGGUGGUUGGGUA
rnacentral:rRNA from 1 species